AGGACGAACGCUGGCGGCGUGCUUAACACAUGCAAGUCGAGCGGAAAGGCCCUUCGGGGUACUCGAGCGGCGAACGGGUGAGUAACACGUGAGUAAUCUGCCCCUAGCUCUGGGAUAGCUCCGGGAAACCGGGAUUAAUACCAGAUACGACCACUUUAGACAUCUGCUGUGGUGGAAAGAAUUUCGGCUAGGGAUGAGCUCGCGGCCUAUCAGCUUGUGGUGAGGUACGCUCACAAGGCGACGACGGGUA
rnacentral:rRNA from 1 species